rnacentral:rRNA from 1 species
GGGGAAUAUUGCACAAUGGGGGAAACCCUGAUGCAGCGACGCCGCGUGGAGGAAGAAGGUCUUCGGAUUGUAAACUCCUGUUGUUGAGGAAGAUAAUGACGGUACUCAACAAGGAAGUGACGGCUAACUACGUGCCAGCAGCCGCGGUAAAACGUAGGUCACAAGCGUUGUCCGGAAUUACUGGGUGUAAAGGGAGCGCAGGCGGGAAGACAAGUUGGAAGUGAAAUCUAUGGACUCAACCCAUAAACUGCUUUCAAAACUGUUUUUCUUGAGUAGUGCAGAGGUAGGCGGAAUUCCCGGUGUAGCGGUGGAAUGCGUAGAUAUCGGGAGGAACACCAGUGGCGAAGGCGGCCUACUGGGCACCAACUGACGCUGAGGCUCGAAAGUGUGGGUAGCAAACAGGAUUAGAUACCCUGGUAGUCCACACCGUAAACGAUGAUUACUAGGUGUUGGAGGAUUGACCCCUUCAGUGCCGCAGUUAACACAAUAAGUAAUCCACCUGGGGAGUACGACCGCAAGGUUGAAACUCAAAGGAAUUGACGGGGGCCCGCACAAGCAGUGGAGUAUGUGGUUUAAUUCGACGCAACGCGAAGAACCUUACCAAGUCUUGACAUCCUGCGACGAUGCUGGAAACAGUAUUUUCCUUCGGGACGCAGAGACAGGUGGUGCAUGGUUGUCGUCAGCUCGUGUCGUGAGAUGUUGGGUUAAGUCCCGCAACGAGCGCAACCCUUACUGUCAGUUACUACGCAAGAGGACUCUGGCAGGACUGCCGUUGACAAAACGGAGGAAGGUGGGGAUGACGUCAAAUCAUCAUGCCCUUUAUGACUUGGGCUACACACGUACUACAAUGGCGUUAAACAAAGAGAAGCAAGACCGCGAGGUGGAGCAAAACUCAGAAACAACGUCCCAGUUCGGACUGCAGGCUGCAACUCGCCUGCACGAAGUCGGAAUUGCUAGUAAUCGUGGAUCAGCAUGCCACGGUGAAUACGUUCCCG